AGAUUCUGAUUCAUUGGUAGGUCUGCGUCAGGACCCAGAUAUUGGCCUUUUAUAUGAAAACCUCAGGUGAAUCUGAUCCACGGCCCACAAUUUGAGAAACAUCACUUUAAGAAAUAAGAAAUCAGAGUUCUUCUGAAGAGACCAUAGAAGGACCAGAGGCAGAACACUUUAUGGAGAUCACACUUCUCUGGGAGCCUCCCUACAAUGAGAAUCUUGACCUCUAGGUCUAUGAUGAUUGUUUUUAAAUUGGAGCAUCCCCAAAAGAAGGUCUUACGGGUCCUCUCUCCCGAACUCCAAGUCAUUACAUUUAGCCUUGAGGCUGGAGU